rnacentral:rRNA from 1 species
UUGCCUCAGUAACGGCGAGUGAAGCGGCAACAGCUCAAAUUUGAAAUCUGGCGCAAGCCCGAGUUGUAAUUUGUAGAGGAUGCUUCUGGGCAGCGGCCGGUCUAAGUUCCUUGGAACAGGACGUCAUAGAGGGUGAGAAUCCCGUAUGCGACCGGUUGGCACCCGUCACGUAGCUCCUUCGACGAGUCGAGUUGUUUGGGAAUGCAGCUCUAAAUGGGAGGUAAAUGUCUUCUAAAGCUAAAUAUUGGCCAGAGACCGAUAGCGCACAAGUAGAGUGAUCGAAAGAUGAAAAGCACUUUGGAAAGAGAGUUAAAAAGCACGUGAAAUUGUUGAAAGGGAAGCGCAAGCAACCAGACUUGUCGGCGGUGUUCCGCCGGUCUUCUGACCGGUCUACUCGCCGCCGCCAGGCCAGCAUCACUUGGGUGCGCCGGAUAAAGACGUGAGGAAUGUGGCCCCCUCGGGGGUGUUAUAGCCUCGCGUGCAAUACGGUGCCGCUCGAGUGAGGUCCGCGCUUCGGCUAGGAUGCUGGCGUAAUGGUUGUUUGCGGCCCGUCUUGAAACACGGACCAAGGAGUCUAACAUCUAUGCGAGUGUUCGGGUGUCAAACCCCUACGCGUAAUGAAAGUGAACGGAGGUGGGAACCUUUUAGGUGCACCAUCGACCGAUCCUGAUGUCUUCGGAUGGAUUUGAGUAAGAGCAUAGCUGUUGGGACCCGAAAGAUGGUGAACUAUGCCUGAAUAGGGUGAAGCCAGAGGAAACUCUGGUGGAGGCUCGCAGCGGUUCUGACGUGCAAAUCGAUCGUCAAAUUUGGGUAU